GCUCCCAACGCGACCCCA
rnacentral:rRNA from 1 species